CUUGUAACCCCGGUCUGUGCCGCGGCUCCAUCCUCUGCACUCCUCUGAGCGAUCUCCAAAUCCCCUGCGUCUCAGCACUAAAAAUAUCCCUGCCGCCCAGAGCCUCUUCCCCGGCGGAGGCUGUGUCUGUGUCAUAAGACCCUGCUAUUCGCGGGGCCCUGCUUCGAUUCCUGCGGGCCGGAGCGUGAGGACAGCAAUCCAGGAGGGCAACGCGGUGCCCGAGGAGCAACGUGCAAACCGCAGGCACAGGCUCCUCUUCCCCUAAACCCCUUGGGAGCGGGGGGAUCCGCUCCUCCUUGGGGGGUUUGGAGUUCUGAGGGAUACUGAUGCCACCGCACAACCACCUCGUGGCCCAACAGGUCCCCGGGCUCAGCUACGUCCCAGUCAGGUGCCCCCCUCCCCCGAGCAUCCCCAUCUUAGACACAGAGCUUCCCGCGCAGCCGUGCCGGGGCAGCAGAUCACGGCAUCCCGCAGGAGAGACGACAGCAGGCGGUGCGGGUGUGCCAUGGGCUACGUCCCCAGCUCACCCUCAGCAGAUCUCACUCCGGGCUGUUUUCUCCCACGUUCAGCCCUGUAUCAGGGCUGCUCCUUGGCAGAGAAGCGGCUUUGGCCUCCCUCCUCCUCCUUCCUGUAUCUCAGAAGGGUGAGUCAGUGCUCGCCGUGCCCAGCACUGCCCGCAGCCUGGUCACUGCCCUACGGGACAGGAUGGAGGGCAUCCAUUCUGCCCUUUUCUCUGGCUGAAAGGGAGUUUCCAGGGUCUGUGGCCUGUCCCGCCUGCCCCAUUCGUAAUGUGUUUGUCUCACUGUCUGAAUGAUUAAAGAUAACUGGGUAUUGUUUGUGUCCCA